rnacentral:rRNA from 1 species
AUUGAACGCUGGCGGCAGGCCUAACACAUGCAAGUCGAGCGGUAGCACAGGGAGCUUGCUCCUGGGUGACGAGCGGCGGACGGGUGAGUAAUGUCUGGGAAACUGCCUGAUGGAGGGGGAUAACUACUGGAAACGGUAGCUAAUACCGCAUAACGUCGCAAGACCAAAGAGGGGGACCUUCGGGCCUCUUGCCAUCAGAUGUGCCCAGAUGGGAUUAGCAAGUAGGUGGGGUAAUGGCUCACCUAGGCGACGAUCCCUAGCUGGUCUGAGAGGAUGACCAGCCACACUGGAACUGGGACACGGUCCAGACUCCUACGGGAGGCAGCAGUGGGGAAUAUUGCACAAUGGGCGCAAGCCUGAUGCAGCCAUGCCGCGUGUAUGAAGAAGGCCUUCGGGUUGUAAAGUACUUUCAGCGGGGAGGAAGGUGUCGAGGUUAAUAACCUCAGCAAUUGACGUUACCCGCAGAAGAAGCACCGACUAACUCCGUGCCAGCAGCCGCCGUAA